UAGGGAAUAUUGCACAAUGGGCGCAAGCCUGAUGCAGCAACGCCGCGUGCGCGAUGAAGGCCUUCGGGUCGUAAAGCGCUUUUCUGGAGGACGAGGAAGGACGGUACUCCAGGAAUAAGGCUCGGCUAACUACGUGCCAGCAGCCGCGGUAAAACGUAGGAGCCUAGCGUUAUCCGAAUUUACUGGGCGUAAAGCGCGUGUCGGCGGUUGGGUAAGUUGGCUGUGAAAUCUCCCGGCUCAACUGGGAGAGGCCGGUCAAGACUGCCUGGCUUGAGGCUGGUAGAGGGAGGUGGAAUUCCGGGUGUAGUGGUGAAAUGCGUAGAUAUCCGGAGGAACACCAGUGGCGAAAGCGGCCUCCUGGACCAGACCUGACGCUCAGACGCGAAAGCUAGGGGAGUGAACGGGAUUAGAAACCCCGGUAAUCCUAGCUGUAAACGAUGUCGACUUGGCGUCGUGGGGUAAAAGCCAGCGGUGCCGGAGCUAACGCGGUAAGUCGACCGCCUGGGGACUACGGCCGACG
rnacentral:rRNA from 1 species